UACGGAGGGGGCUAGCGUUGUUCGGAAUUACUGGGCGUAAAGGGCGCGUAGGCGGCGAUUCAAGUCAGGCGUGAAAGGCCUGGGCUCAACCCGGGAACUGCGCUUGAUACUGGAUUGCUUGAGUCCGGGAGAGGAUGGCGGAAUUCCCAGUGUAGAGGUGAAAUUCGUAGAUAUCGGGAGGAACACCAGUGGCGAAGGCGGCGACCUGGGCCAAUACUGACGCUGAGGUGCGAAAGCGUGGGGAGCAAACAGG
rnacentral:rRNA from 1 species